CAGUAGCCACGGUAAUACGGAGGGUGCAAGCGUUAAUCGGAAUUACUGGGCGUAAAGCGCACGCAGGCGGUCUGACAAGUCAGAUGUGAAAUCCCCGGGCUUAACCUGGGAACUGCAUUUGAAACUGUCAGGCUGGAGUCUUGUAGAGGGGGGUAGAAUUCCGGGUGUAGCGGUGAAAUGCGUAGAGAUCUGGAGGAAUACCGGUGGCGAAGGCGGCCCCCUGGACAAAGACUGACGCUCAGGUGCGAAAGCGUGGGGAGCAAACAGGAUUAGAUACCCCUGUAGUCCCUGUCUCUUAUAC
rnacentral:rRNA from 1 species